GUAAGGGAUAUUGCGCAAUGGGCGAAAGCCUGACGCAGCAACGCCGCGUGGAGGAUGAAGGCCUUCGGGUCGUAAACUCCUUUUGACGCUGACGAGGAAGGACGGUAGGCGUCGAAUCAGUCACGGCUAACUACGUGCCAGCAGCCGCGGUAAAACGUAGGUGGCGAGCGUUAUCCGGAUUUACUGGGCGUAAAGCGUGUGCAGGUGGGCUGAUAAGUGGUGUAUGAAAUCGCCGCGCUCAACGUGGCGGGGUUAUGCCAGACUGUCAGUCUAGAGGUCGAGAGAGGGAUGUGGAAUUCCGGGUGUAGUGGUGAAAUGCGUAGAGAUCCGGAGGAACCCCAGAGGCGAAGGCGGCAUCCUGGCUCGAAUCUGACACUCAGACACGACAGCAUGGGGAGCGAACGGGAUUAGAAACCCGGGUAGUCC
rnacentral:rRNA from 1 species